AAAUGGUCCAAUUGGGCA
rnacentral:snRNA from 1 species